UCGGGCUAUUCUGGGAGCAUCCGUCUGCUCUCGAUCCUCAUUUUAUAGGAGAAAUUAUGCAGGGGAUCCGGGAGCAAAUACGCGAUUGCGAAAACAGGAAGAGGACCCUCCUCGAAGAACAGCAAGAGCUCAUUGUGCGGGCCGCCACCCUCGGUGACCGGGAAGACUAGAAUAGAAGAGUCCGUCGACUCUUUUUAGUUUUAGAAGGUUUAAAUAAGUGUCUAUAGACGCAAAGUAGUGUGUUUUAAUGCAUGGCUUUCUUUGUCUUUAUUUGGUGGAGAUCUACUCCUAUGCUUACUGGUUCUGGAAGACCUAUCUAUAAUAAGUGUCUUUGUUUGGUUUUCUUUUUUGUGUUUGCAUGUAUGUAUGGGCCAAACCCUAGUCUAAAGUGUUCAAUGCUUAUGUUAAUAUAAUAAUAAAGAAUCGUAAAAAUGUGCUGAAAAUUCAUGUGAAAGUUGAAAUAAGGUGUAAGCUAAGUGUACUGGAGAUGUGCUUAUGUUGCCUUUCCAGCUCUGAAGCUUCCUUCUUCCUUGAGUCUGCGCCGUCUGAAAUACCAAACCCUAAAUCUUGCUAGUUCAGUUCGUGUGUUUUACGUGAGCGCGCUUCACUAGCGUGCGUAGAAAAAACACACUAACUUGAUCAUAAAAGAAAGUGAAACGUUUUGUCUUUCUAUCUCCAAUUCUCUCUUUUUCCUCACAUAAAAUCAUGAAAAGGAAGGAUCCGAGCCCAUCCAUCUCCUACAUGAAAGGAUCUGAGUCCAUCAAAAUAGCCCAGAAAAUUACAGCCAUCAAAAAAAAGGCCUAAGCCUAUAUAGCCUCGGCCCAUCCAAAUGAUGUUCAGCGGUCUAAACCCAAGUAACUGUGGCCCAUGAUCCAAGGGACCCGCAACCAGUCAAUCAUGCUAUCCUUACCUUCCAACCAAUCGGAAAAUCACGCUAUCCUUCACUUUCAACUCGAUUCCGCUUCUGCAGCAGUAUAUAAUCUCGGUCCCUUGAUGCCUACAGCUCCAUUUUUUUUCCAGUGAUGGCAAGAAUCCGCGAAAUACUGCUUUUUCUUUUUCUUCUUCUUGUGUUGUUUCUGAAUGGCAUCAUAGCUACACGAGGGAAAGCGAUGCUGCCCACUCUGCCGCAAAAGGGGGCCGCUUUCUUCCCCCCCCAAAAAAACGCCAGUUCCACCAUCAGGGCCCAGCAAGCAGCAUAAUUCUGUUCCGAGGCUGCGUUUCAUUCCAGCAACAGUAGUCUAUGGUUCGAAGCGCCUUGUUCCAUCUGGCGCGAAUCCCCUCCAUCACUAGUAUAGUGGAGGUCUUAUUUGGAUUGCAAGAAUUAAUAAACGUACAAACACAAAUAAUGAGCAGACCAUCCCACUUUUAUAUGUGGGUUCAUUUCAUAAUUGAUUUGUGUUUUGAAUAAAGAAGCGCGCUCCUAGUUAGUGUAACGCAGGUGUCUUUCUCGGUUGAUGGAAGGGAUAAAUGUCUAUAUCGCUUUAGAAUGUUAUUGUUAUGUUGAUGCUAUAUUAAAGAAUCUAAUCUAAUUUGCUUAAAGUAAUAUUCUUUAUAAUUGUCUUCCUCUUUCUGUGUAAACGAACUUCAAGUCUUAAUUACUUACUCAACAGGAAGCGUCACAGCCUAGGUUUGGGCCGCCUCCGAUGUCAAUCUGCAGUAAUAGUUUUCGGAAGCAGCCUAUCUAGUUUUUCGAGGUGGGUUCUAUUCACCUAUAGCUAUUUGCCUGCUUCUUUCUAGGCUAUGGUUUACCUCUAUCAUGCAAAUGCCCAACACUUUUUUGCUUUCUAAGAUCACCCUGUAUGAAAGAUGUAUGACUGGAUAAUGAAAGACUUGCAUGGUAUGCAAUCUGAACGUCCACAGAGUAUAAAAGGUAAGACCUAAUAAGAGAAAUGAGCUUAGCACAACACGAUAUGGGAUAGAAAGCAAAUCCUAAAAGGAAAAACCCAUCACUAAACAGAAUAGAAGAAAUGGGUUCAGGCCAAGUGACAGAACUCUCUAUGAGUUGGGCAACAUAAAAGAUCCUAUUCGAAAAUGGAUGUAGGCUUAACUAAAGCCCAAUGCUGGUUGAACUCUAUGGAAUCUAAGCCUCCCGAUCUUUAAAGAAAGUCAAGACCGAAGGAACCUCCUUUUCUACCGGAACCAGGCUAGGCUACUCCUGUUCCCCUUUCUGAAUCAACUUGUCCUUGCGCUUAAAACUUGCGAGCGAGUGGCGAUCGGGUAGAAACGAAAGAAAUACGUACUGAUACGUGUUAGAACGGGGAGUUGCCGGAUACAAUGUUCAUGAAACCCUACAAGGAGCUGGUCUAAAGGAAGGAACUGACGGAACUGUCUUGGAACCAAAAGCCCGCUCUCCUCUCUCCCCCUUUUUUAGCCAAUCCCACUUUUCACCUUGAAUUGGUCAAAGCCAUAAAUGGGAUGAAUAGAAGGAAAGGAGAUCAGAAAGAUACGCGGACGACUUGACUAUAGUAUGGGUCGGAUGUUUCCGUGAGCAGUAAGCAGC
rnacentral:lncRNA from 1 species